AUUGAACGCUGGCGGCAUGCCUUACACAUGCAAGUCGAACGGCAGCACGGGUGCUUGCACCUGGUGGCGAGUGGCGAACGGGUGAGUAAUACAUCGGAACAUGUCCUGUAGUGGGGGAUAGCCCGGCGAAAGCCGGAUUAAUACCGCAUACGAUCCACGGAUGAAAGCGGGGGACCUUCGGGCCUCGCGCUAUAGGGUUGGCCGAUGGCUGAUUAGCUAGUUGGUGGGGUAAAGGCCUACCAAGGCGACGAUCAGUAGCUGGUCUGAGAGGACGACCAGCCACACUGGGACUGAGGCACGGCCCAGACUCCUACGGGAGGCAGCAGUGGGGAAUUUUGGACAAUGGGCGAAAGCCUGAUCCAGCAAUGCCGCGUGUGUGAAGAAGGCCUUCGGGUUGUAAAGCACUUUUGUCCGGAAAGAAAUCCUUGGCUCUAAUACAGUCGGGGGAUGACGGUACCGGAAGAAUAAGCACCGGCUAACUACGUG
rnacentral:rRNA from 1 species